UGGCAGCCACAGUUGGGCCGACUAGGGGGAGAAUGGUCGGCAUGACUUUGAAAACCGCAGUUGGGCCGACUACGGGGAAUGUAGUCAGCAUGACUGGCAGCCGAGUAUAUCGAUGGUCGGUAUAUCAAGGAUUACAGAAUUAUUUUUCUCAAAAGAAACACGAUCCCAGAGUUGGGCCGACCAUGGUAAAUAUUUGCACCCAAAGUUGGGCCGACUAUGGCUGCCGACGUCGGCAGUCACAGUUGGGCCGACCAUUGCAGCCAUAGUUGGGCCGACUAUGGGGGAUUAUGGUCGGCACAACCUUGGCAGCCAUAGUUGGGCCAACCUUGGCUGCCAUAGUUGGGCCGACCAUGGGGGACAAUGGUCGGUACGACCUUGGCAGCCAAGGUCGGUCCAACCUUGGCUGCCAUAGUUGGGCCGACCAUCAUAAAGUAAAUUUCUCUCCUACCAUUGACAAAUGUAAAAUGUUUUUGUUAAUUUACUUGUAAUUGAUUAAUUUAAAAAGAAAAAAGGUUAUAUGUGAUUAAUUUAUUAUUUUGAAUUACUAACUUUAAUUUUUUUCAAGCUGUAGCUUAUAACAUUUAUUUUUCUCCGUGACUCAUAUGUCAUUGCGUAGUGUAGUGGUUAGCGUAUUAGACUGCGGUGCGUUAGGUUGCGAGUUCGAUCCCUGCGAGCGUUAAAAAUUUUAAUUUGUAUAUAUGUAUGUUUACGAUUGCGUUUAGUGUUUAAGUAUAUAAAAUAAAUGUAUAAUGAAUUUAAAAUGAUUACUAAUAUAUGUUAUUUGUAUAACAAAUUUUUA